UGCAAGUCGAACGGCAGCGCGGACUUCGGUCUGGCGGCGAGUGGCGAACGGGUGAGUAAUAUAUCGGAACGUACCCAGUAGCGGGGGAUAACUACUCAAAAGAGUAGCUAAUACCGCACACGCCUACGGGGGAAAGGGGAGAAUCGCAAGACCUCUCACUAUUGGAGCGGCCGAUAUCGGAUUAGCUAGUUGGUGGGGUAAAGGCCUACCAAGGCGACGAUCCGUAGCUGGUUUGAGAGGACGACCAGCCACACUGGGACUGAGACACGGCCCAGACUCC
rnacentral:rRNA from 1 species